AAAAUACAUGACCUUUUGAUUUAGUUGCAAUUUGCACCCGGCGAAAAUUCCGAUCACUCUUAUGUUUGACCGGCGAUGACGUGGACACUAUUUUAAAUUACAUGGCAUUACGCGUGGCAUUUAUUACACGGUGGCAAGCCACGCGUUCAAAACGACGUCGUUUUGAUAAGGAGAAAAAAAUAAAAAAAUAAAGAAAAAUAUUGACUAUACAUCCAUUUCUCUCUCUCUACAAUCUUGAUUCAAUCACCCAAUUCUAGGACCAGCCUAUCGAAGACGACGAUGAAAUCCAGUCCCAGCCUUCCCCCGCACCCAACGGGUGGAUCGCCU
rnacentral:lncRNA from 1 species